UACAGAGGGUGCAAGCGUUGUUCGGAAUUAUUGGGCGUAAAGCGCGUGUAGGCGGCUUUGCAAGUCGGGUGUGAAAGCUCUGGGCUUAACCCAGAAAAGUCGUUCGAUACUGUUGGGCUAGAGUGUGGAAGAGGCUACUGGAAUUCCGUGUGUAGCGGUGAAAUGCGUAGAGAUGUGGAGGAACACCAGUGGCGAAGGCGACUUUCUGGUCUGUAACUGACACUGAGGCGCGAAAGCGUGGGGAGCGAACAGG
rnacentral:rRNA from 1 species